rnacentral:rRNA from 1 species
GCAAGUCGAACGAACUCUGGUAUUGAUUGGUGCUUGCAUCAUGAUUUACAUUUGAGUGAGUGGCGAACUGGUGAGUAACACGUGGGAAACCUGCCCAGAAGCGGGGGAUAACACCUGGAAACAGAUGCUAAUACCGCAUAACAACUUGGACCGCAUGGUCCGAGUUUGAAAGAUGGCUUCGGCUAUCACUUUUGGAUGGUCCCGCGGCGUAUUAGCUAGAUGGUGGGGUAACGGCUCACCAUGGCAAUGAUACGUAGCCGACCUGAGAGGGUAAUCGGCCACAUUGGGACUGAGACACGGCCCAAACUCCUACGGGAGGCAGCAGUAGGGAAUCUUCCACAAUGGACGAAAGUCUGAUGGAGCAACGCCGCGUGAGUGAAGAAGGGUUUCGGCUCGUAAAACUCUGUUGUUAAAGAAGAACAUAUCUGAGAGUAACUGUUCAGGUAUUGACGGUAUUUAACCAGAAAGCCACGGCUAACUACGUGCCAGCAGCCGCGGUAAUACGUAGGUGGCAAGCGUUGUCCGGAUUUAUUGGGCGUAAAGCGAGCGCAGGCGGUUUUUUAAGUCUGAUGUGAAAGCCUUCGGCUCAACCGAAGAAGUGCAUCGGAAACUGGGAAACUUGAGUGCAGAAGAGGACAGUGGAACUCCAUGUGUAGCGGUGAAAUGCGUAGAUAUAUGGAAGAACACCAGUGGCGAAGGCGGCUGUCUGGUCUGUAACUGACGCUGAGGCUCGAAAGUAUGGGUAGCAAACAGGAUUAGAUACCCUGGUAGUCCAUACCGUAAACGAUGAAUGCUAAGUGUUGGAGGGUUUCCGCCCUUCAGUGCUGCAGCUAACGCAUUAAGCAUUCCGCCUGGGGAGUACGGCCGCAAGGCUGAAACUCAAAGGAAUUGACGGGGGCCCGCACAAGCGGUGGAGCAUGUGGUUUAAUUCGAAGCUACGCGAAGAACCUUACCAGGUCUUGACAUACUAUGCAAAUCUAAGAGAUUAGACGUUCCCUUCGGGGACAUGGAUACAGGUGGUGCAUGGUUGUCGUCAGCUCGUGUCGUGAGAUGUUGGGUUAAGUCCCGCAACGAGCGCAACCCUUAUUAUCAGUUGCCAGCAUUAAGUUGGGCACUCUGGUGAGACUGCCGGUGACAAACCGGAGGAAGGUGGGGAUGACGUCAAAUCAUCAUGCCCCUUAUGACCUGGGCUACACACGUGCUACAAUGGAUGGUACAACGAGUUGCGAACUCGCGAGAGUAAGCUAAUCUCUUAAAGCCAUUCUCAGUUCGGAUUGUAGGCUGCAACUCGCCUACAUGAAGUCGGAAUCGCUAGUAAUCGCGGAUCAGCAUGCCGCGGUGAAUACGUUCCCGGGCCUUGUACACACCGCCCGUCACACCAUGAGAGUUUGUAACACCCAAAGUCGGUGGGGUAACCUUUUAGGAACCAGCCGCCUAAGGU